rnacentral:rRNA from 1 species
UGGUGGAGUGGUUUGUCUGGUUAUUUCCUUUAAUGAACGAGACAUUGACCUACUAACUAGCAUCACACUGCUGCUGUUGUGUGGCAGACUUCUUAGAGGAUCUUUGUGUGCCCAGCAUGCGGAAGUUUGAGGCAAUAACA